rnacentral:lncRNA from 1 species
CUCAAGUUUUACAUCAUAGAAAGAGUUGUAAUUAUUACAGGUCCUGAUAGUACUCAAGUGCAUGAAUUAAUACACGAUUGGGAAAGGUGAAGCCUUUCCAUAAGAAAUAAACUAAGCAUUAAAAUCUUCAAGGCCUCCCCACGAAGCAACUAUUAGGAGCUAAAGAUAGCAAGAAUCCCUCCUGCAACAACAUAGGGAAUAAAACCCUGAGUAUGCAAUUACUUAGCAAGACUUACCCGACUAAAGAAAAGACUCUCAAGGGUAUGCUGGAUUUGGGACUCAAGGUAAAGCUUAUCAAUUAUCGAAGACCCUUUUUGGCAGAAAAGCUUACUACCAGUUGAUCCCUAAGCCAAGUUUUAUUUCACAAGUUAGGUAUUUACCUGCAUCUAGAUUUGCCUAAUCUAGUUCAAGCACUUGGCCCAUAACCGAGGAGCAACGACGAUUCAAACCGAUUAUACCCAGCUGGGGAUGUCUAACCACAUGACAUAUGUAGCACUUAACCCUUGCAUAUGUCAACCGUUCCCACGGAGUCCUCCACUACAUGAACAGGUCCGCGCCACCCGAGAGCACAUUAUCCUACUAGGCGUGCAACUAUGCCAGGAGGAUACAUGCUACUCUCGCCAUCUCUCCACUCCUAGUGCGCGAUUGUCUCUUCACAUAUGGAAUAGCCGGGUUCAAGUUUACCCUGUCCCAUACCAGGGUAUGUGGCUAGUUGUAAAGUCUCAACCACAACAGGCCAGUCAACGAUAUGGUCCUUAAUCAACACAGAAGGGCGACCAUGUCAGCUCAGCGUCUGGUCUCGAUUUAUUCAAACCAUUUCCCCAUUUUUGGUACCCGACAGGGGUACUAUUUUCGGAUGAUGAACCCAUCCGGAGCCCUGAUGGACUCAUGAUCAUAAGUUUGUUAUCACUUUUGAAUCAAAAGCCCAUAACCAAUGUUACACAUCAUUCUUUUGAAAAACAAAUGAUUUUUGAGUUUCUAAGCAGGACUAAGCAUUAAUAAUUCUUUUUAUAAAACAGGGAUUUAGGAAUUUUCAAGGAAUGGUAAUGCAUCAAUUGUUUAUCACACAACUCCUAUCACCUAAUGCAUCAUAUCAGGUGAUAAAGCAUUUAAAACACAAGGAAGGGGCAAAUGCACCGGGGCUUGCCUUAUUACAGGAGGAAAUCUGAGAUCUUCUAUUACGAUAAGCAGUUACAUGGAAUCCACCACUGGAUCAAUAGAACUGGAACAUGCUCCUUCUUCACAAAUCACUUCUUCUGGGUACUCUACAUGAAAUGCCAUGAUUAUGAAUGCUUGUGUAUAUGCUACUAGCAAGGAAGGUAUUACAAAGCAUUACAAAAUUACAAUUACAAGCUAUCACCACAAGCUAUAACUACCAGGGAUCUACUUACUGAACUUCAAUACUCUACACAAACGCAGAACGAUGGCGCUGGCCACCCGAAUUUCUUGACUAAAAACCGCAUCAAAUUACAAUCCUAGAAGUUCCAAUCAGAUUUUCUCAUUUCCCUAUGCUGGCUUGAUACACUUACUUACUAGGAGUUGCUCUUCUAUGAUCACUCUCCAACUUUAAUUUAAAGGAUACUAGCUAAAACUCAACAGACUUCAGGUUAGAGAGCUCCAAAGUUGGAACUCCAGCAAGCUACACAAUUCAGCACCCUCUACCUAACAGAGCAACUUGGAAUAACCUUUUCUCUCAAUUCAAAGCAAGGAUAGGGAGAUCCUUCUUAAAAGAAAUUGCUCCCUAAUAUUAGAUCUUCAAGUUUACUGCAAUGAUCAUCCACCAAAACUUCAAGAAUUGAGACUUAGAAGGGUCCAAAACUGAGAGGAAUUCACGGUUUCUAAAAAUUCAGCAAACUGAAUUACGUUUUAGAUUCUGAAACUGAACUCUACACCAAACUGAACCCCACCUUUAACUUCAUUACUCCUCACAAUUCCAAACAAUAAUAGUCCAACCUUGACUAAUAAAAUUUGUUUACCAAACAUAUCUGUACAAGUUUGUUGCAGCAGCCUUAGGUCAAAGAUUCAUGGAUCAAGAGUUAUAGUGCUCCAAAAAUGGGUUGAGAAUACCUGUCAGUGAAAGUUUUGAGACGUUUUAUCCAAAAAAAAUUACAUAGCAGCAAUACCAAUGCUUCACUGACCUUCGAGGAGUAGGGAACGAGCACCACACGACCGACACAACCUCUGAGGAAUCUGGGCCACGACGAGGGUGAGAACUGCUGUUGUGGUCACCAGACAGGGUGCUGGCG